rnacentral:rRNA from 1 species
AUUGAACGCUGGCGGCAUGCUUUACACAUGCAAGUCGAACGGCAGCGCGGGCUUCGGCCUGGCGGCGAGUGGCGAACGGGUGAGUAAUGCAUCGGAACGUGCCCAGUAGUGGGGGAUAGCGCGGCGAAAGCCGGAUUAAUACCGCAUACGACCUGAGGGUGAAAGCGGGGGACCGAAAGGCCUCGCGCUAUUGGAGCGGCCGAUGUCGGAUUAGCUAGUUGGUGGGGUAAAGGCUUACCAAGGCGACGAUCCGUAGCUGGUCUGAGAGGACGACCAGCCACACUGGGACUGAGACACGGCCCAGACUCCUACGGGAGGCAGCAGUGGGGAAUUUUGGACAAUGGGGGCAACCCUGAUCCAGCCAUGCCGCGUGCGUGAAGAAGGCCUUCGGGUUGUAAACCGCUUUUGUUCGGGAAGAAAUCCUCUGGGCUAAUACCCCGGGGGUAUGACGGUACCGGAAGAAUAAGCACCGGCUAACUACGUG